rnacentral:rRNA from 1 species
GAUGAACGCUGGCGGCGUGCUUAACACAGGCAAGUCGAACGGAAAGGCCAGUGCUUGCACUGGUGCUCGAGUGGCGAACGGGUGAGUAACACGUGGGUGAUCUGCCCUGCACUUUGGGAUAAGCCUGGGAAACUGGGUCUAAUACCAGAUAGGACCAUGCUUUGGAUGGUGUGGUGGAAAGUUUUUUCGGUGUGGGAUGAGCUUGCGGCCUAUCAGCUUGUUGGUGGGGUAAUGGCCUACCAAGGCGUCGACGGGUAGCCGGCCUGAGAGGGUGUACGGCCACAUUGGGACUGAGAUACGGCCCAGACUCCUACGGGAGGCAGCAGUGGGGAAUAUUGCACAAUGGGCGCAAGCCUGAUGCAGCGACGCCGCGUGGGGGAUGACGGCCUUCGGGUUGUAAACUCCUUUCGCAACUGACGAAGCUUUUUGUGACGGUAGGUUGAGAAGAAGCACCGGCUAACUACGUG